GAUGAACGCUAGCGGCAGGCUUAAUACAUGCAAGUCGUGGGGCAGCAUGAAUGUAGCAAUACAUUUGAUGGCGACCGGCAAGCGGGUGCGGAACACGUACACAACCUUCCUAUAAGUGGGGAAUAGCCCAGAGAAAUUUGGAUUAAUACCCCGUAACAUAUCGAUGUGGCAUCACAUUGUUAUUAUAGCUUCGGCGCUUAUUGAUGGGUGUGCGGCUGAUUAGAUAGUUGGCGGGGUAACGGCCCACCAAGUCUACGAUCAGUAGCUGAUGUGAGAGCAUGAUCAGCCACACGGGCGCUGAGACACGGGCCCGACUCCUACGGGAGGCAGCAGUAAGGAAUAUUGGUCAAUGGACGCAAGUCUGAACCAGCCAUGCCGCGUGAAGGAUUAAGGUCCUCUGGAUUGUAAACUUCUUUUAUCUGGGACGAAAAAAGGCUAUUCUUAGUCACUUGACGGUACCAGAUGAAUAAGCACCGGCUAACUCCGUGCCAGCCGCCGCCGUAAAAC
rnacentral:rRNA from 1 species